rnacentral:rRNA from 1 species
UGCCCUACGGGCGGCAGCAGUGGGGAAUAUUGGACAAUGGGGGGAACCCUGAUCCAGCGAUGCCGCGUGUGUGAAGAAGGCCUGAGGGUUGUAAAGCACUUUUAGUGGGGAGGAGGAUGCAUAGGUUAAGAGCUAAUGUAUUGGACGUUACUCACAGAAAAAGCACCGGCUAACUCCGUGCCAGCAGCCGCGGUAAUACGGAGGGUGCAAGCGUUAAUCGGAAUGACUAGGCGUAAAGGGUGCGUAGGUGGUUAAGUAAGUUAUAGGUGAAAUCAAAGGGCUCAACCUUUUGCUGAAUUAUAAUACUGUUUAACUAGAGUAUAGGAGAGGGCAGUGGAAUUUCCGGUGUAGCGGUGAAAUGCGUAGAGAUCGGAAGGAACACCAGUUGCGAAGGCGGCUGCCUGGCCAUAUACUGACACUGAGUCACGAAAGCGUGGGUAGCAAACAGGAUUAGAUACCCGAGUAGUCCA